ensembl:snRNA U6 U6 spliceosomal RNA
GUGCUCGCUUUAGCAGCACAUGGACUAAAAUUGGAACAUUAUAGAAAAGAUGAGCAUGGCCUCUGCAUAAGGAUGACACAUGAAUUUGUGACAUGCCAUAUUAAG